rnacentral:misc_RNA from 1 species
AAGUCGUAACAAGGUCUCCGUUGGUGAACCAGCGGAGGGAUCAUUACCGAGUACUAUAACUCAUAACCCUUUGUGAACCUUCAUACCUGUUGCUUCGGCGGCGCGCCUCCCGGGGCGUGCCCGCCGGCAUUAUCAGAAUCUCUGUUCGAACCCGACGAUACUUCUGAGUGUUCUAAGCGAACUGUUAAAACUUUCAACAACGGAUCUCUUGGCUCCA